rnacentral:lncRNA from 1 species
CGGAAAACCUCCGCGCGUGCCCCUUAAAGACACAGCGCUGCAUUCACACGUCUGCGGGGAAAGGGGGGCCGUCACGUGUGGCCUUCGCCCGAAAGCGGUAGGGGAGUCGCUCUGAAACCGCCAAGGAUCGCGAGCGACAGAUUUGUGUUGGCCAGGGUUUUAAGAUGACGCAAUAGCUGAGUGUGGUUGAAAUGUAACUAUUGUUUUACAACUUUGCAUUAACCUUCCAAGACCUGAAUUCCCGGGCCUGAGUCUCAGAGCGCGGUUUGCAUCUUUGCAGGCUGUAGGCGCAUGAUGUCACAAGUUAUUGGAAGAAAUCCCUCCAACCUAGGUUGGGACAGAUGAAGGCGGCGCUUAUUGGUGUUCACCAAAACACCAGCAUGGUGUACCAGCUUUGGCUAGAUGAUGCUCAGGUAACGAACAACCCCUGCAACUCAGUGGCUUAAAGGUCCAUUUCUCAAGCGAAUUACUGUGGCUGCAGGGAGCUUUGGCAGUACUCCACCAGUUUUCUUCACUCCAGGCUGAAAGGUCAACUUUUCUGGGCCAUGCUCCCUGCUGGGCUGGUAAACCAACUUUGAGGGAGAAGGGGGAAGUCCAGAUAUGUAGUGUUUGCUAUUUCUAUGAUGUAAAUGCUCCCACAAUGGCCGAUUUCAAGCUACAAACAGUCCAACAAGUGGCUUGCCAAGUUCCUGGAAAUUUAACAAUUAGCUCCUGUACAUGACUGGCACAAGCUGCUUUCCAAACUCACAUUCCGCAUGCCUCAGUUCUGCUCACUUUCUAUUGGUCAAAACUUGCUGUCAGUGGGUGGGGAAGUGUACCCCUCUCUUAAGGAAGCCUUGCAAGUCUUGUGACAAUGAAACAGGAGAGUUCCCUGAUUUCCUCCCGGCCCCCGCCCUCCCACAGCCCUUUGCAGGACGUGCAACAGGGUUGUGGCUCGUGUGUUCGGUCUCUG